ACUGAAACAUCUAAGUACCCGGAGGAAGAGAAAUCAAACGAGAUGCCCACAGUAGCGGCGAGCGAAGAGGGCAGAGCCCAAACCGAGAAGCUCCGGCUUUUCGGGGUUGAGGACCGGCAGAAUCGAAGUCAGGCCUAGUUGAAUUACCUGGAAAGGUAAGCGAGAGAGGGUAAAAGCCCCGUAGACGAAAGGCAGAGCAGAGAGGCCGAGAUCCAGAGUACCACGAAGCACGAGGAAUUUUGUGGGAAGCAGGGGGGACCACCCUCCAAGGCUAAAAACUACUUGGCGACCGAUAGCGCAUAGUACCGUGAGGGAAAGGUGAAAAGAACCCCGGGAGGGGAGUGAAAUAGUACCUGAAACCGUAUGUCUACAAGCAGUCGAAGCGAAAGCGACGGCGUGCCUAUUGAAGAAUGAACCAACGAGUUAUCUGCACUAGCGAGGUUAAGUGGAAGACACGGAGCCGCAGCGAAAGCGAGUCUUAAGAGGGCGCUAGUUAGUGUAGGUAGACCCGAAACCGCAGUGAUCUACCCAUGUCCAGGUUGAAGCGCAGGUAAAAUUGCGUGGAGGACCGAACCGGUGAGCGUUGAAAAGCUUUCGGAUGAGAUGUGGGUAGGGGUGAAAUUCCAAUCGAACGCGGAGAUAGCUGGUUCUCCCCGAAAUAGCUUUAGGGCUAGCCUGAGGUAGUAAGUAUAGGCGGUAGAGCACUGAUCGGGCUAGGGGCCGUAAAGGUUACCGAACCCUGUCAAACUCCGAAUGGAUAUACUGUAGAGCCUUGGAGUCAGACUACGAGUGAUAAGAUCCGUGGUCAAAAGGGAAACAGCCCAGACCACCAGCUAAGGUCCCCAAUGUCGUACUAAGUGGAAAAGGAUGUGGGGUUUCAUAAACAACCAGGAUGUUGGCUCAGAAGCAGCCACCAUUUAAAGAGUGCGUAAUAGCUCACUGGUCGAGAGACCCUGCGCCGAAGAUUCCCGGGGCUAAAGUACGAAACCGAAGCUGUGGCUGUAUACGUAAAGUAUACGGGGUAGGGGAGCGUUCCCAUAGGGUAGAAGUCGAACUGGAAGGUUCGGUGGACUUGUGGGAAGUGAGAAUGUUGGUAUGAGUAGCGAAAAGAAAGGUGAGAAUCCUUUCCACCGAAAGCAUAAGGAUUCCUGAGCAACGAUCGUCGUCUCAGGGUAAGUCGGGACCUAAUCCGAGGCAGAGAGCGUAGGAGAUGGACAACUGGUUGAUAUUCCAGUACCGGUAGUAAUUGUUUGAGCAAUGGAGUGACACAGAAGGGCAGGCAAGCAUGCGAAUGGAAGAGCAUGUGUAAGCGUGUAGGGUGGUGCAUAGGCAAAUCCGUGCACUGAAAGCCUGAGGCGUGAUGCGGAGUGAGCAGAGAUGCGAGCGAAGUUGUUGACCCCACACUGUCGAGAAAAGCUUCUAGUGAGAGAGCUACCGCCCGUACCGUAAACCGACACAGGUAUGCGGGGAGAGAAUCCUAAGGUGCGCGGGAGAACCCUCGUUAAGGAACUCGGCAAAAUGUACCCGUAACUUCGGGAUAAGGGUAGCCACUGUUGUGAAGUCCCAUGCGGAUGGAGCAUAGAGUGGUCGCAGAGAAGAGGCCCAAGCGACUGUUUACCAUAAACACAGGUGCCUGCUAAAGCGAAAGCUGACGUAUAGGUGCUGACACCUGCCCAGUGCCGGAAGGUUAAGGAAGGAUGUUCGGAUUAGUCCAAAGCAUUCGACUGAAGCCCCGGUGAACGGCGGCCGUAACUAUAACGGUCCUAAGGUAGCGAAAUUCCUUGUCGGGUAAGUUCCGACCCGCACGAAAGGUGUAACGAUUUGGGCACUGUCUCAACGAGGGACCCGGUGAAAUUGAAAUACCUGUGAAGAUGCAGGUUACCCGCGACUGGACAGAAAGACCCCAUGGAGCUUUACUGUAACCUGACAUUGGGUUUUGAUACAUUACGUACAGGAUAGGUGGGAGGCUUGGAAAGUUGGACGCUAGUCUGACUGGAGCCGACGUUGGGAUACCACCCUUGAUGUAUUGAAAUUCUAACCGCGAGAGUAACGAAAUCCGGGACAGUGUCAGGCGGGCAGUUUGACUGGGGCGGUCGCC
rnacentral:rRNA from 1 species